rnacentral:lncRNA from 1 species
CAUAGACUGUAUAUUUUUGGCCACCACCUAAAAUUGGCGCUGUUUAGUCCCAUUGUCAGAAACGAAGAAGAAUUCAAACAGGCGGAAGGCGGAGACAGGAGAAAGGCACCGGCGUAUCUGGUCCUGGACACAACUUUGAACGGUGAAUAAUGGUGUCAGAGGAGAAGGAGCAAGAGGUGGCGUGGAGGGAGCUGCGCAGGAGGAAGAGGAUGGAGGAGGUGGAGGAGCUGACCACUGCGGGACACAACGCUCUGUAAUCGGGACCAACCCAGGAGGCGCUACCGUUUCAGAGGAUCAAAGGAGACUGAAGGCAGCCCGCCAGGUUUCCACGCAGCGGCUUAGGACUAAUUCUACAUCUGGACCUUAAGGACGGCUCUGAAGGACCAUGUGCACGGUGGGAAUGGAGGUGAGAGUCCUUCAUAGUUGUCUUUUAGUUGCUUCUUUGUUGUAUUAUUUGUCUUGGCACCUCUGAAAAAACCUGUCGUUCAGUUGUUCCUUCACUAAUGUGUAUUCCAGCGUCCACAUCUGUGGGAAUGCCGCCCACAACAACUGCAGUCCUUUAUUAAGUAAAAAC